rnacentral:rRNA from 1 species
UACGUAGGGGGCUAGCGUUGUCCGGAAUUAUUGGGCGUAAAGAGCUCGUAGGCGGUCUGUUGCGUCCGCUGUGAAAACUCGGGGCUUAACCCCGAGCCUGCAGUGGAUACGGGCAGACUAGAGGUAGGUAGGGGAGAAUGGAAUUCCCGGUGUAGCGGUGAAAUGCGCAGAUAUCAGGAGGAACACCGGUGGCGAAGGCGGGUCUCUGGGCCGAAACUGACGCUGAGGAGCGAAAGCGUGGGGAGCGAACAGG